rnacentral:rRNA from 1 species
UAAACUAGUAAGGGCGUAUGGUGGAUAUCUAGGCGCUAGAAGCCGAAGACGGACGUGGCAAGCUGCGAUAAGCCUUGGUAAGCUGCAAACAAGUGAUAAUCCAGGGAUUUCCUAAUGAGAGCACUUAACAUGGUAACCCAUGUUAUCUUAGAGCUAACUAGAAUAACUCUAAGAGGGUAACGGGGCGAACUGAAACAUCUUAGUAACCCUAGGAAAAGAAAGAAAAUCGAUUCCCUAAGUAGCGGCGAGCGAAAGGGGAAGAGUCCAAACUGUAAUAGUGUAUAAGCUUAUGGGCAUUGCUAUUACAGGGUAGUAGGUCUAUUAUGAUACUACCAUAAAAGUAUUAUAGAUAUCUUUUUAGUUAAUUGAAGUAGUUGGGAAGCUACACCACAGAUGGUAAUAGUCCAGUAGAUGAAAACUAAAAAGGAUCUAAAUAGCACCUAAGUACCAUGAGUCACGUGGAACCUCGUGGGAAGCAAGGAGGACCAUCUCCUAAGGCUAAAUACUAACUAGCGACCGAUAGUGAACCAGUACCGUGAGGGAAAGAUGAAAAGAACCCCGGGAGGGGAGUGAAAUAGACCUUGAAACCAUAUGCUUACAAGCGGUCAGAGGGCGUAUGUGCCUGAUGGCGUGCUUUUUGCUUAACGAACCGGCGAGUUAUGUUAAGUGGCACAGGUUAAGCCAAAAAGGUGAAGCCGAAGCGAAAGCGAGUCUGAAGAGGGCGUAAGUCGCUUAGCAUAGACCCGAAACCGAGUGAUCUAUCCAUGGCCAGGAUGAAGCAUGUGUAAUAGCAUGUGGAGGUCCAAACCGCAUUGACGUUGAAAAGUCAUGGGAUGAGCUGUGGAUAGGGGUGAAAGGCCAAUCGAACUCGGAGAUAGCUGGUUCUCCCCGAAAUAGCUUUAGGGCUAGCCUUAAGAUUGCUAUAUUGGCUGUAGAGCACUGAUUGGACUAGGGGCUUACCCAAGCUACCGAAUCCAGUCAAACUCCGAAGGCUGAUAUAGAGAACUUAAGAGUCAGACUAUGUGGGAUAAGCUUCAUAGUCGAGAGGGAAACAACCCAGACCGCCAGUUAAGGUCCCAAAGUGUAAACUAAGUGGCAAAGGAAGUGAGACUGCCUAGACAACCAGGAUGUUGGCUUAGAAGCAGCCAUUCAUUUAAAGAGUGCGUAAUAGCUCACUGGUCGAGUGGUCUUGCGCCAAAAAUAUACGGGGCUUAAGUUUACCACCGAAACUGCGGAUUGGUUAAUCCAAUGGUAGGGGAGCAUUCUAUACGGGAAGAAGUAGUACCGAAAGGAGCUAUGGACUGUAUAGAAGCGAUAAUGCCGGUAUGAGUAACGAGAAAUAGGUGAGAAUCCUAUUCGCCGAAAGUCCAAGGUUUCCUGAGCAAGGCUCGUCCGCUCAGGGUAAGUCGGGUCCUAAGCCAAGGCCGAAAGGCGUAGGUGAUGGAUAGUCGGUUAAAAAUCCGACACUACCUAUUAGCAUUUGAGUGAAGAGGUGACGCAGGAAGAUAGGUUUGCCUGAGAACGGUAUAUCAGGUUGAAGCACUAAGGAGGAUGAUUUAGGUAAAUCCGGAUCAUCAUUAACUCUAAGGUGUGACCAGGAGUUUCUACGGAAACGAAGCAAUUGAUUCUCCACUGCCAAGAAAAACCUCUAACAAGUUAGUAGGUACCCGUACCGUAAACUGACACAGGUGGACUAGAUGAGAAUUCUAAGGCGCGCGAGAGAACCUUCGUCAAGGAACUCGGCAAAUUAGCCCCGUAACUUAGGGAGAAGGGGUACCUCAUUAGCGUUAUGCGCAAAGAGGUUGCAACAAAGAAGCUUAGGCGACUGUUUACCAAAAACACAGGUCUCUGCUAAGACGCAAGUCGAAGUAUAGGGGCUGACGCCUGCCCGGUGCUGGAAGGUCACGGGGAGAUGUUAGGAACUAUGUUCUAAAGCAUCGAACUUAAGCCCCAGUGAACGGCGGCCGUAACUAUAACGGUCCUAAGGUAGCGAAAUUCCUUGUCGGGUAAGUUCCGACCUGCACGAAUGGCGAAACGACCUAAGCACUGUCUCGACGAAGGACUCGGUGAAAUUGAAGUGUCUGUGAAGAUGCAGACUACCCGCGACUGGACGGAAAGACCCCGUGGAGCUUUACUGCAGUCUGAUAUUGAAUUUUGGUACACUAUGUACAGUAUAAGUGGGAGGCUUUGAAAUCGGCACGCUAGUGUCGAUGGAGCCAUCAUUGGGAUACCACUCUUAUUGUGCCGUGAUUCUAACCAAGCGCUAUAAUCUAGUGCUGGGACAGUUUCAGACGGGCAGUUUGACUGGGGCGGUCGACUCCUAAAGAGUAACGGAGUCGCCCAAAGGUUCCCUCAGUGUGGUCGGAAAUCACACGUAGAGUGUAAAGGCAUAAGGGAGCUUGACUGCAAGACAUACAGGUCGAGCAGGUACGAAAGUAGGGCUUAGUGAUCCGAUGGCUAAGAAUGGAAUUGCCAUCGCGCAACGGAUAAAAGUUACCCCGGGGAUAACAGGCUUAUCUCCCCCAAGAGUUCACAUCGACGGGGAGGUUUGGCACCUCGAUGUCGGCUCGUCGCAUCCUGGAGCUGGAGCAGGUUCCAAGGGUUGGGCUGUUCGCCCAUUAAAGCGGCACGCGAGCUGGGUUCAGAACGUCGUGAGACAGUUCGGUCCCUAUCCGUCGUGGGCGCAGGAUAUUUGAGAGAAACUAUCCCUAGUACGAGAGGACCGGGAUGGAUGUACCGCUGGUGGAUCAAUUGUCAACCAUUGGCAUUGUUGAGUAGCUAAGUGCGGAACUGAUAAGCGCUGAAAGCAUCUAAGCGUGAAGCAGAUCUCAAGAUUAGAUAUCCCAUGGAAUAAUCCAGUAAGAUCCCUGAUAGAACUAUCAGGUAGAUAGGCCAGAGGUGUAAGUGUGGUAACACAUUAAGCUGACUGGUACUAAUAGAGCGAGGGUUUAAUCU